AACGCACAUUGCGCCCGCUAGUAUUCUGGCGGGCAUGCCUGUUCGAGCGUCAUUUCAACCAUCAAGCCCCCGGCUUGCGUUGGAGCCCUGCGGCUGCCGCAGGCUCCCAAAUCCAGUGGCGGGCUCGUCGUCGUACCGAGUGCAGUAAACAUCCUCGCUCAGGGAACGCGUCGGGUUCUUGCCGUGAAACCCCCCCCACAUCAAGGUUGACCUCGGAUCAGGUAGGAAUACCCGCUGAACUUAA
rnacentral:misc_RNA from 1 species